AAGAACCUUACCUGGUCUUGACAUCCACAGAACUUUCCAGAGAUGGAUUGGUGCCUUCGGGAACUGUGAGACAGGUGCUGCAUGGCUGUCGUCAGCUCGUGUUGUGAAAUGUUGGGUUAAGUCCCGCAACGAGCGCAACCCUUAUCCUUUGUUGCCAGCGGUCCGGCCGGGAACUCAAAGGAGACUGCCAGUGAUAAACUGGAGGAAGGUGGGGAUGACGUCAAGUCAUCAUGGCCCUUACGACCAGGGCUACACACGUGCUACAAUGGCGCAUACAAAGAGAAGCGACCUCGCGAGAGCAAGCGGACCUCAUAAAGUGCGUCGUAGUCCGGAUUGGAGUCUGCAACUCGACUCCAUGAAGUCGGAAUCGCUAGUAAUCGUGGAUCAGAAUGCCACGGUGAAUACGUUCCCGGGUCUUGUACACACCG
rnacentral:rRNA from 1 species